CUACGGGUCGCACCAGUGAGGAAUAUUGAUCAAUGGGCGCGAGCCUGAACCAGCCAUCCCGCGUGCAGGAUGACGGCCCUAUGGGUUGUAAACUGCUUUUCUAUGCCAAGAAACCCUGUUACGAGUAACAGGUUGCCGGUAGCAUAGGAAUAAGCAUCGGCUAACUCCGUGCCAGCAGCCGCGGUAAUACGGAGGAUGCAAGCGUUAUCGGGAUUCGUUGGGUUUAAAGGGUGCGCAGGUGGGCUUGUAAGUCAGUGGUGAAAUGCUGCCGCUUAACGGUAGAACUGCCAUUGAUACUGCGAGUCUUGAGUAUGGUUGAGGUAGGCGGAAUGUGUUGUGUAGCGGUGAAAUGCAUAGAUAUGACACAGAACGCCAAUUGCGAAGGCAGCUUACUAAGCCAUUACUGACGCUGAGGCACGAAAGCGUGGGGAGCGAACAGGAUUAGAUACCCGGGUAGUC
rnacentral:rRNA from 1 species